AGCACGUUAUGGUGGGCACUCUAAGGAGACUGCCGGUGGACAACCGGAGGAAGGUAGGGGAUGACGUCAAGUCAUCAUGGCCCUUACGGCCUGGGCUACACACGUGCUACAAUGGUCGGUACAAAGGGUUGCCAAGCCGCGAGGUGGAGCUAAUCCCAUAAAACCGAUCGUAGUCCGGAUCGCAGUCUGCAACUCGACUGCGUGAAGUCGGAAUCGCUAGUAAUCGUGAAUCAGAAUGUCACGGUGAAUACGUUCCCGGGCCUU
rnacentral:rRNA from 1 species